GUGCCAGCAGCCGCGGUAAUACAGAGGAUAUAAGCGUUAUUCAUAAUUAUUGGGCAUAAAGCAUCCUUAGAUGGUUUAUUAUAUUAAAGUAAAAAUUUAAAAAUAAUAUUUUUAAACAUUAUAUUUAAUAUUAAUAGAACUUUGAGAAUAAAACAAGUUUAAGGAAUUUUUUGAGUAAUGGUGAAAUAUUAUUUCUAUACAUUAAGGAAGGCCACGAACGAAAGUGUUAAACUAAGUUACAUCUGACAUUGAUGGAUGAAAGCUAAAGUAGCAAAUGGGAUUAGAUACCCCAGUAGUUUUAGCUGUAAAUUAUGAAUAUUAAAAUUUAGAAAAAUUAUUUUUUUAGAUUUAAAGUUAAUACGUAAAAUAUUCCGCCUGAAUAGUAUGCUCGCAAGAGUCAAAUUCAAAGGAACUGACGGGAACUUAUACAAGUGAUGAGCUAUGUUAUUUAAUUUGAUGCAGCCCAAAAAAUCUUACCAAUAUUUGACAUAAUUAAACAUUUUUCUUUACGGAAAAUUUUAAUUAAUCUUAAGGUGGUGCAUGGUUGUCGUCAGCUAGUGCUGUGAAGUAAUUAAACUAUUCUAAAACUAGCGUAACCCUUAUUUUAAUAUAUAUAUAAUUAAUUAAGGACGAUGUCAAAUCUUUAUGCCCCUUAUGUAUUGGGCUAUUAGCGUGGCGCAACGAUAAAAACAAAUGUAAAAAAUAUUUAUUGAAUUUUAUGAAAAUUUUAUAUAUAUUUAAAACUAAAUUUUAUCUCAGUACGAUAUAUAAAUUGAAAUCUAUUUAUAUUUAGUAGUAACCACUAGUAAUCGUUAGUCAUAUAUAUAACGGUGAAUAUAUAAUUAAGUUUUGUACACACCGCCCGUCGCAUCCUGAAAAUAAAUACGAUACAAGUUAUUUUAUAAGUAACAAAUUUUUGAUUUGUGAUUAGGAUGAAGUCGUAACAAGGUAGCCGUA
rnacentral:rRNA from 1 species